UCCAAAUCGAGUUUAGGAUUGCCGGGGACGUGACCCGUAUCAUCGGUCUGUGUUCUUUGGGAACCCAUAUUGUAAACUGUGGCACAUCUACGCCCACCAUCAUAGAUUCGAUGUCUACCCACCUUCUCUCAUCUGGCGUGGAGUGCCACAUGGCGAUCUGCGUCAAUUGGGCCGCCAGAUAGUAGAAGUAAAGAUUUGGGAGGCCCAGACCCCCC